UGAGGAAUAUUGCCCAAUGGGGGAAACCCUGAGGCAGCAACGCCGCGUGAACGAAGACGGCCUUCGGGUUGUAAAGUUCUUUUCUGGGGGACGAAACGGACGGUACCCCAGGAAUAAGUUCCGGCUAACUACGUGCCAGCAGCCGCGGUAAAACGUAGGGGACAAGCGUUAUCCGGAUUUACUGGGCGUAAAGCGCACGUAGGCGGAACGGUAAGUUGACCGUGAAAGCUCCCGGCUUAACUGGGAGAGGUCGGACAAAACUGCCGGACUUGAGGCUGAGAGAGGAGAGCGGAAUUCCCGGUGUAGUGGUGGAAUGCGUAGAUAUCGGGAGGAACACCAGUGGCGAAGGCGGCUCUCUGGCUCAGAACUGACGCCGAGGUGCGAAAGCGUGUGGAGCGAACGG
rnacentral:rRNA from 1 species